UCAUAAGGCAGGCUGAACACAACAUAGCCUUGAUUGAACCUGGACUCAUGGUUGACCCUCAUUUCAUGGAUAGAACCACUCUCUAUGGGAGAAGUGGAGUUUAUAGAUGGAAAGAACCUGAGAAGCCACUUCCUGAAAGGACAUGGUGAUCACUCUGCAGUCAAGGCCAUUUCUACAUGGAGUAGGCAGAGUGGGAUGGGGCAGGACAAUUCAUACAAUUUGCUGUUGAGCUGGAUACCUCAGUCAUUUCCUGAGUCUUAUCACAAAUUAAUCUUAGGAGUAUGUAAAACAUAGACGUCCGUGUUUGAUUUUAGUCCAACCUGUCUAGAAACUGAAACAGUUGUAGAAGAACUUAGAGGCAAAGGUGGUACACAAAGUGGACAUUGUUGACAUUUUGCAGUAACUGAAGACAAAGGACUCCUAUCAGCUUAAAAUCCUAAGCAAGCUUGAUCAAGAAAUGAGAGUGGAGCGAGAUUUGCUACACUCAACAGGCAAGGCAAGCAUGGAGUCAUUAAAGCUUGAGAUUUUAUAGAGCCGCACGGGAUGAGCCUGGCUGCUUCACAUGUAUCUGCCUUGACUUCUGAAACAAGAGACCUUACCUCAGAAUUGUCGAAAACCAACUCCUAGAAGAUGCUUGCCUUCCCACGUAACAGCGCAUUGUUAAUGAGCCACAGUUGCUGUCUGGUUUUGAGCCUCCCGGGACAAGCUCGCGUGCUUCAUGAGCUCAAAGGGGCAUUUAUCAUUUUCCUUUGUUAUGGUCAUCAACCAAAACAGGGUCCCGCAGAACACAGAACGCCAACUACGUUUGUUAAGGAAAUAAAAGGAUGUAGUGACUAAAUGAAUGACUGAGAGUGAUUCAGCAUGCCAUGGCUGUGAAUCUGAGUCUGUCUUCACCAUAGUCAGGCUUCAUGAACCAGGCUCCAAUCAACCACAAAGCAGAUUUGUGUAUGUAUGGAUUUGUUUGCAUUAUUAGCCAGAUUUACAGGUGUCAGCAGAGAGGGCCCGCACAGAGGGUGAUGCCGGCGGUCCUGCAGUCCUGCUUGUUGUCAGUUGAAGGUUUCUGAGUAAAUUGACAGGGCCAGACUAAAGUGAGAUUGGCAAAUGGACUUGGGAUGAAGAAGAAGAGCAGCAGCAGCAGCAGCAGCAGCAGCAGCAGCAGCAGCAGCAGCAGCAGCAGCAGCAGAUGUUAUCCUAAUGGAAAACUGGAGGCUCCUCAGCCCUGGGCCGUCCCUCCUGUGCUGGCGUGUGUGCCUCUCCGCUCAUGGUCUGCCUUGCUGACACCGCUUUGGCACCUGGAGUCAUCUAGUAAAGGGGAGAAACAAGGAAGCCUUGGGUGCCUGAGAAUCUCUUCGGUUGGACCACCCAGCAGUCUGUAAACAUUUUCUAUUUCCUGCAUUGGCUCAGAUGAUGCUAACAAGGGUCCCCUAUCUCUGGUUCCUAAUAACAUUCUCUCCAUUUUGUUAUGUUAAUGCUCCUCCCUCUCCUGAGGAGUCUACUUGAGCACUGCUCAUUGUCCACCAAGCGUUUCUUCUGAAUGCUUCUAGUUUCUCCUACUGCUCAUGCGGAAGCCGUGUUUGUGCUUGGUUACCUCUGCCAAUCAGACUCAGCCCUAAGGAAACUGAUUUGGAACAUUAAUUCUGUGAGGAAAGAGCCAGGACACUCAACUGUCCCCUUGGCAUCCCUGCAGGACUGUGGAGGCCGUGAGUUGUUUAUUGAAUAUACCAGCUAACCUUGCCACUGCUGUGACCACACCUCACAAGAAGCAAGUGAACAGGAGAGGGUUAGUAGGAUAUAAAUUUAAGGGCGCUCACAUCCCUUUGGGGGAGUCCAAUCCCUGAAACUGGUCUCUUUCUCAGUCUGCUUCUUCUUCACCCAGCACGGUGUGAACGAGCCAUGCUGCAAGCUCCCUUAGCUAUGGAUCGAGCCACUCCAACUGCCAUGACCUCACCAUACAAUUGUGUCCCCGGCACUUCGGUAAUGUACGUGGUUAUCACUUGGUUAUACUGCCUUGUGACAGAGGCAUCGUUCAUCAUUUAAAAGGCCACAUCAGAAGAAGGUACUAAGAAAACGAGAAGUUCUUUCUGCAGUUACCUGCAGCUGAAACGUGGAGAGUGAACUAAGGAAGUAUGGCAGUGUGCUAAAAAAUAUCCAUAAAAAUCACAUAUAGGUAGUGGUUACCAGUGGCUGAAAUUGCAGGAGAGAAAGAUCUCACUUUUAAGUGACUCCUGAUGGAGCUACACGAUAUCAUGCGUAAAAAUGUAAAUUUCUUCUGCUGAAGAUAUUGCUAAGCAGAGAGAGAUACUCCAUGACAUCAUCAAAAAGCAAAAAUCGAAACCCCAAACGAGAGAAAUUCACGAGAUGAACGCUGAUGUUCCAAUUGACAGCAAGUACUAACUGGGCAUUUAAUAAGAUAAAUUGAUUAUUAGUCUCUGGGUAUGAUGGUCAUGUUACACUUCUAUAUCCAGUAAGGCUACUUCCCUUUCAGAGGUAUGUAUUAAAGUACUUACCGUUAG
rnacentral:lncRNA from 1 species